UACAGAGGGUGCGAGCGUUGUUCGGAAUUAUUGGGCGUAAAGGGCGCGUAGGCGGUGCCACAAGUCACUUGUGAAAUCCCCAGGCUUAACCUGGGGCCUGCAGGCGAAACUGUGGUGCUGGAGUGUGGGAGAGGUGCGUGGAAUUCCCGGUGUAGCGGUGAAAUGCGUAGAUAUCAAGAGGAACACCUGAGGCGAAGGCGGGUUGCUAGGCUGACACUGACGCUGAGGCGCGAAGGUCAGGGGAGCAAACGGG
rnacentral:rRNA from 1 species